rnacentral:rRNA from 1 species
GGAUGCGAUCAUACCAGCACUAAAGCACCGGAUCCCAUCAGAACUCCGAAGUUAAGCGUGCUUGGGCGAGAGUAGUACUUGGAUGGGUGACUUCCUGGGAAGUCCUCGUGUUGCAUUCC